GCUGCUUCUACUUCACGCCCAGGACAAGGUUUUCAAAUAGUGAGGAGCGGCUCAUAAAUAGAUCAUGAAACCAGUGUGGUGGCUCGUAACCUGUAUUUUAAAUAAUACAGCAAACAUAAUCAUGCAUCACAAGUGAAGGGAGUCUAGUGUGGAACCCGGAGUGUGCUACAGCCCUCACCUCUGCUACCUUGAAAACAAGCUGAAGGGUCUCAUCGUUAGGGGCUUCAAUGCAGGCUCCACACUUCAGUUUCAGACGUAGAGGCAUUUUCUAAAGCCAAGGGCUCCUCACAAUGCCAGUCUGUCGGCCCUAAAAACCUUCAACCUUCAGCACUGGUGUUCCAAACCAACUGUGUGGUACACAGCCCUGUGUGGAUAACUUUAGUGAAGUAAAAUAUGUAAGCUUCUGGCAUGCACAUAUAAUAAUGAGAUUCUGAAAAAGGGUUUUUAACAACAGUUAUGUCACGAGGCUCAUGGCUCCCUGAAGUCCCUGAAAACCUUGUUAAAUUAAAGAUUCGCUGUGGUUUUUUUCCGCUUCAUUCCUACUUCCCA